AAGCUGAUUCGGGAGAAGCACAAAGCCAGGACACAGAUUUGCCCACAAAUUCUCUCACACACAUUCCCCAGGCUGGAAGGUACAGCCCAUCGCAGAGCUGAUGUACCUCGAGAAAAGUGGGUUCGGGUCUUAUUGGGGGAACCAGAGAAACUAUUCUUUCCUCUCUCGCUCGGCACCGCUAACAAAACGCGCGGACUUCAGGAAAAAACAAAACCCCACUGAGUGGACUCCUGUUCCACUCGCCUGACACUCGCUGAGCGCAGCCCCCGAAACGGGGGGACACGGGGCAGAAGGGGGCGGACGCAAACGCACACCCAGACCCAGAGCCCCAGCGGAGAAAAGGGUCGAAGACCACUCCGUCUGUGUUCUCCCCAGGGCGGGCGCGGAUAAACCCGAGGCUCGUCUGCCUUCCACGAAGGGAGGGGGUGGGGAAGCUUCAAGGGGAAGGUCGUGCCCCCCACAGCUGAACUAUUUUAGAAAGGAAAGCAGAGAAAAAUCACUUUCCGGAGGAUAAAAGGCCGGGAAAGCAGCCGGCCGGACUCCCAAAGGCUGGAUUGUGGACAUGAUGGUAAGAGCCAGUGUUGACCAUGGGCCAUGCAGAAGAGGACAACCCUCUAGAAGAGGCAGAGCAACAAGGCAGAAGUAACCUGGAUCCCUUAAUGACCACCUGGAUUGGAGCCACCUACCUACCCAAGACCACCCAUGAGAAAUAAAUAAAUUCUGUUGUAUCUAAA